rnacentral:rRNA from 1 species
GUUUGAUGGUGGCUCAGGAUGAACGCUAGCGGGAGGCCUAACACAUGCAAGCCGAGCGGUAUUUGUUCUUCGGAACAGAGAGAGCGGCGCACGGGUGCGGAACACGUGUGCAACCUGCCUUUAUCUGGGGGAUAGCCUUUCGAAAGGAAGAUUAAUACCCCAUAAUAUAUUGAGUGGCAUCAUUUGAUAUUGAAAACUCCGGUGGAUAGAGAUGGGCACGCGCAAGAUUAGAUAGUUGGUGAGGUAACGGCUCACCAAGUCAAUGAUCUUUAGGGGGCCUGAGAGGGUGAUCCCCCACACUGGUACUGAGACACGGACCAGACUCCUACGGGAGGCAGCAGUGAGGAAUAUUGGACAAUGGGUUAGCGCCUGAUCCAGCCAUCCCGCGUGAAGGACGACGGCCCUAUGGGUUGGAAACUUCUUUUGUAUAGGGAUAAACCUACUCUC